rnacentral:rRNA from 1 species
UAACAUAUGCUUGUCUCAAAGACUAAGCCAUGCAUGUCUAAGUAUAAACGACUUUAUACUGUGAAACUGCGUACAGCUCAUUAUAUCAGCAAUUAUUUAUUUGAUGGUUCCUUACUGCAUGGAUAACCGUGGUAAUUCUAGAGCUAAUACAUGCGCAAAGUCCCGACUCUCGCGGGGAGGGAUGUAUUUAUUAGAUUCAAAACCAAUGGGCCCGGUAUUGUGGUGAUUCAUAAUAACUGAUCGAAUCGCAUGGCUUCACGCUGGCGAUAGUUCAUUC